rnacentral:rRNA from 1 species
AGCGAACGCUGGCGGCAGGCUUAACACAUGCAAGUCGAACGGGCCCCUUCGGGGGUCAGUGGCAGACGGGUGAGUAACACGUGGGAACGUGCCCUUCGGUUCGGAACAACUCCGGGAAACUGGAGCUAAUACCGGAUACGCCCUUACGGGGAAAGAUUUAUCGCCGAAGGAUCGGCCCGCGUCUGAUUAGCUAGUUGGUGAGGUAAUGGCUCACCAAGGCGACGAUCAGUAGCUGGUCUGAGAGGAUGAUCAGCCACACUGGGACUGAGACACGGCCCAGACUCCUACGGGAGGCAGCAGGGGGGAAUAUUGGACAAUGGGCGAAAGCCUGAUCCAGCCAUGCCGCGUGAGUGAUGAAGGCCCUAGGGUUGUAAAGCUCUUUCGGCGGGGACGAUAAUGACGGUACCCGCAGAAGAAGCCCCGGCUAACUUCGUGCCAGCAGCCGCCGUAACAC